ACAUGAUAGAUAAUACGCAAUGAUUUCGGAAAAUUGCAAGGAUUGUCUAGAGUUGAAAUCUCCAGGUUUUCGUCGUAUAUAAACUUGACAGAAAGAUGUGUUUUUAUAUAGAGGUAUCAGAGAGCAAUGGAUAUGAAAACGACAUUGAGUCUUCUUCUUGUUUUGAUAACAUUCUCUGCAAUGGCUUUUGAAUUUGCAAAUGGAUUUUAUAUCGGUCAUCAACCUAGUAAACCUAAAUUUCCAUCAGGCUGUGUUUGCUGUUGCCAUCCCUGUCAUUGUGAUGGAUAUCCAAUUAGUGAUAUAUUUUACCCCCGGAAAUCAGUAGAUGGAGUACUUUCAGCAGCAAUUUAAACAUAACUGGCAACGAAACAUCUAUGACAAUUGCAAACCAACUACCGCGAAGAAAUCUGAGCAAAAUGUACACAUCCAUCAAUUCAAAAUAAUAUCAAAAUCUGCUGGAAAAAAUUAAUCGGGGAUGUAUAUGUUUUACCAGAUUAUGUUUAAAUAUUGUUGUCGUUUUGUUUUGAGUUACUUAUAAAUAUAUAUGAUUUGCAAUAAAAGUAUCAGAAGUUCA